AUGAAGGUCGAAGAAGCAUUGGGAGAUCCAGAUUGGAUAAAUGCUAUGCAUGAAGAGCUGCACAACUUUGAGAGAAAUCAAGUUUGGACAUUGGUUGACAAGCCCGACAACAACCACAACGUCAUCGGUACCAAAUGGGUGUUUCACAACAAGCAAGAUGAAGAUGGACAUGUAGUUCGCAACAAAGCACGUCUCGUUGCCCAAGGUUACACACAAGUCGAAGGUAUGGACUAUGGUGAGACUUAUGCUCCCGUUGCUAGACUUGAGUCCAUUCGCAUCUUACUUUCAUAUGCUAAUCACCGUGAUAUCACCUUGUACCAAAUGGACAUUAAAAGUGCUUUUCUAAAUGGUGAAAUAGAGGAGGAUGUUUAUUAA
rnacentral:rRNA from 1 species